GAAGAACGCUGGCGGCGUGCCUAACACAUGCAAGUCGAACGAGGUCCAUCCUUCGGGAGAAGACCUAGUGGCGAACGGGUGAGUAACACGUGAGGAACCUGCCCCGAAGACCGGGAUAACCCUCCGAAAGGAGAGCUAAUACCGGAUGUCCCCACCGGACCGCCUGGUCUGCUGAGGAAAUGGAUUCCGCUUCGGGAGGGCCUCGCGGCCUAUCAGCUUGUUGGCGGGGUAACGGCCCACCAAGGCAUCGACGGGUAGCUGGUCUGAGAGGACGAUCAGCCACACUGGGACUGAGACACGGCCCAGACUCCUACGGGAGGCAGCAGUGGGGAAUCUUGCGCAAUGGGCGAAAGCCUGACGCAGCAACGCCGCGUGGGGGAUGAAGGCUCUCGGGUUGUAAACCCCUUUCAGCAGGGACGAAUCAAGACGGUACCUGCAGAAGAAGCCCCGGCUAACUACGUACCAGCAGCCGCCGUAAUAC
rnacentral:rRNA from 1 species